rnacentral:lncRNA from 1 species
CACUGCUGGCUAGAUGAUCGCUGUCGUAGGCAGUCAAGAAUAAAAAUCAACUCAAACUAUAUAGAUAGGGUGAGUAGGGAUCAUUUCUACGGAGAUCUAGGAUGAUUAUCUUUUUUUUAAGAAAAAAUAAAAAGAGAAUUGAUUGUAGAAAAAUUAAAAGAAAUAGAAUAGCAAGAAUUAAAUUAAAAGUAUGAAUUAAUUUAUGAAAAAAAAUAAGUCAG